GAUAAUUAGAUUAAUUAAUAAAUAGAGGAAAGUGGAUUAUUGACUGGCAGUCAAAAGGUCACGGGUUCGAAUCCCGUAUUCUCCA
rnacentral:tRNA from 1 species